GGAGUAGGGAAGAAGGGAGCAUGUAGUCAAAUGGAUGUACCCACAGACGUGGCCUAAGAGCGCGUGCGUCAAAGGAGCGGAUCAUUGCGGUCUCUGAGGUAAGUAGAGCUGACGGCUCUGGAAUGAGUUUCUGUGUGGAAAAAGUUGCAGUACUGACAUUCAUUGUUUGCUGAUCUUGACGUUCCAAGUGAACAAGAAAGAGAGAGAACUACAGUGCUUGGUUCCCUGUUAUUGCCUGGUAGGGGUGACCCGAGGCCUUGCUACCAGGUUACAAGUUUACCUGGUUUUGAAGAUCUCUCUUUUUCUUUAUUCCCAAUCCCCCUUUUCUAUCAUCUCUUUUUUCGUCCAAUCCCCUUUCUAUCCACUUGCACCUGCAAGUACAACGAUAAAGGGCAUUCAGUUGAACCCCUGAAAACGGAACUCUUGAAAACCCCCUGAAAACGAAACUCUUGAAAAAUAACCCCUUGAAAUCUAAACUCUUGAAAAGGAAGGGCAUUCAGUUGACCCCUGAAAAACGGCUUCAUAGGGCAUUCAGUUGACCCCUGAAAAACGGCUUCAUAGGGCAUUCAGUUGACCCCUAAACAACGGUUUGAAAAGGGCAUUCAGUUGACCCCUAAACAACGGUUUGAAAAGGGCAUUCAGUUGACCCCUAAACAACGGUUUGAAAAGGGCAUUCAGUUGACCCCUAAACAACGGUUUGAAAAGGGCAUUCAGUUGACCCUUGGAAACGGAAAUCUUGAAAAAAGAUCCCCUUGGCAAACUUGUUUCCCUCAUUUAACCCUGUAUAGUGUUUCCUUGUGAUUGGUUUCAGGUCAGACAAUUCUCUAAAGAAGCAAACUCUUCACCCGAAGACAGUCAUCACAUUGACCGCGGCAUCUGGAGCUGAAGACACACACAUUCACAUUAUCGACUGAAGCUGCAGUUACCUGUCAUUUCUUAUAGCAGUAUAUUGUGAUUUAAAAACAUCCAGCUUCUUACAGUGUGUACAUACCACAUUUAAUACAUUUAGUAAAAAUACAGUCUAUUAAAAUAUUUGUUGCUGAACCUUUUUACACAUUAAAUACGUAAUUAUUUCAUAAAAAGUUAUUUCUUUUAGCAGUUGUCUUUUGUAAGCUUGUUUCCUACAGAGGUAUAAUCACAUUUUUGGGUUGUGAGUGUGUUUUAAGGAGAUACAAUUGCAUCUAGAUACUGGAUUGUAGUAUAUAAGAAAGCUGUUUGAGUGUACAAUUUAAGGGGAAAAUUACGUUUUGAGAAGUUAUUAAUAAAAAAAGAAUUUUUACAUAUA